GAACCAUCGAGCAAACCCAGGGAUAAUCUCCUCUUCCUCCACGGACACCACUGUCCUCAAAUAUCUCAGGAAAUAUGAACGCAGCGCAACAACAUUUGUUGUCUGUUUGAGAUCCAAAUGUAAGAGGCGUUCUGUCUGCGAGAUAUGCUACUGAUUGAACCCUUCGCAAUGUUUCCUCCCCUGGCGAUAGAAUGUUUGCAAUUCUUGGACGAGGAUUCAGCCGUUUGGACAGGCAUAUCUCACCAGGGUGAGCCUCGAAUAGAACAUUCAUCUCCAAUCACCUGCACAUUGUGGUCGAUUUCCAUCCAUGAAGGCUGUUGUUCAAAGAGGCCUGAAUAAAGAAGUUAGGAAAAGGAACCUGAGAAGCUAUUUUUCUUCCCUGAGAAGGAACAACUCCACAAGAGAGUUCCAAAUCCUUCCGUCCUAGAGAUUGUCUAUCCAGCCUCGAGGUCUGGGUGAAGAUUAAAUCAUGUUCCGAAGAAAGGAAGAGUAAACGGUGCCUGAUUUCAUUGCAUCAACACACCUGACAUCAGCUGCAUUCCAAAUGCAAUGUGACCCUGCAACCACCAUCUGACAUUGGCUUUGAUGGGCUCUGAAAGUGGGAUUGAGUACCUUCACCAACUCUGCUUGCUCCACCUCUGGUCUUCACGAAAGAUGACUGAAUACAUGAUUUUGACCACUGGUGACACGUCAAGUCCCCCAUACUAUCUGUCAUCAAUGCCACUCAUGCAUUAGCCUCCAGGUGCUCAAGGAACCAGUUUUUCCUGACAAUGAUUGAUAGUGGCAUUGGCCAACUUGCCAUGUAUUUGAGAUCUGCUUGCUGGAGGAGAACAAACAAUGAGUGAAAUCCAUGAGGUGUGAGUACUCCAUUAACCAUGAAGAUGAAUACACUUUGAAAGGAGCCCUCCAGUAGAGAUGGAGAAUGUGUGCGAAUCAGUGGGUGAGGACAUGGAGAAAUGCCAUCUUGUCAUUGACUUAAUCUUGAGCUGUCAAAGUGGAUUGAGAAUCCCAAGCAGGACAUUUCCCCUAAAGUUACUCCAAAAAUCCAUCAGUGCUCGUGGACUCUUCCUUCCCCAUUACAACUCACUUAGGCCAAUAGCUCCUGAGGCUAAGAUCAAGCUUGAUUUCAGAGACUUGAGACUUGAAGUUGCAAGAUGGAGCUAGAACAUGGCGUUCUAUCCCAGAAGAGGAUCAAUUAUCCACUACAAUUGUUCCACUCUUUUACUUGUGUGUGAUUGUACUCGUGGUAUGAUUUGACUGGAUAACACAAAAAAAACAAAGCUUUUCACUGUAUUUUGUUACAUGUGACAAUAGUAAACCGAACUACACUGAACUCCACAGAGAUAGAGUGAGGGGGGUUGUGGACAUGUGCGAGAAAGGUGAACUGGUGUGUGAAGUUGAUCAGGGAAACCAGGCUCCCAAGGGGACAAUAUGUGGCCUGGAACCUAUUUACCGAGCGGUCGACUCCCUUCAUUCAGGAAGAAACAGUGGGAAAAUUGUAACUGGGUUACCUCAGCCAGUGAGCAGGGUUUCGUUAUGAAAUGUUAAUUCAUGAGUGGAAAGCCUCCAAAAAUAGGGGCAGUGGCUUUACUUAGCGUAAAGACCCUUCAGCAGUUCAGGAAUAAUACGGCGUGAGGGCAGGGUAUUAUCAGGCAAUAAGUGGAUAUUUAAACACCUACACAAAUUAUAAACUCUCCUUUUCAGCCCUUUCAAGCUGUUUUAAAUCUGUUGACCCAUCCAUUAUUUUAAUCGUGUGAGAAAAAAAGAGUGAAAAAUAUAUAAUGUAAGCUCCAACAGGAAGCACUAUGGAGUACCUUUUCCCAAGAUUCAAUAAUCUACAGCAAUAGCUCAAUUUGAGCCUCAGUUUUGCUGAGAUAGUGGGAAGAUAAAUCAACUGUGUUAUUGCAUUGCAAGUGUUCAUGCAGUUUUGGUAAAGUGGAUUUAUGCUGGUAUAAUGUGAAUAAAAGAGUGAAGUACAUCACAGUGAAAUUUGACGAAAAAAAGAGGAAGCAAAGCCUGUGUGAAUCCAUACUGUACUAAACUGACUUUACUGAUUUCAUACAAAUCUGCAGAAAAAUAGCCACAGAUACAGGAAAACAUCCACACCCCAAAAUAUUCUCACAUAAAAACCAUCUGAAGAAAAAUAUCCACAAACAAAAAAUACCUGUAGGAAAUCAUUCACACACAAGACAUCUGUUGGGAACUCUCCACACGCAUUCAUAUCAAUGCACACACAUCUGCAGGAACAUAUAUACAUAAACACACACACAUCUGCAGGAAAAAUAUUAAUUCCCAACAACAUCUGUAGUUCUUCAAACACAGAAAGAAUCUGUAAGAAAAACAUCCACACACAGUAAAACAAUAUCCAGGACAAUACCAUGAUGUGCAUCUAGUGAAAUGCAUCAUCACACACAACUACUGCAGGCAAAUACCCACACCACAAAGCAUUCAUAGCAGAAUAUUUGAACAUUCAGUAAAUCUGUUGGAAAAUACCCCAUAUAAAAUAUAUCUUUAGGAAAAUAUCCGUCCUUCCAUCUGUGAAACAUUGCCAUGCAUGAUGAGCCUGCAGGAAAAUAUUAACACUUAAAAAGCAUAUGGGAAAGUACCCGCGCACAGAGCUAAGAAAAAAUAUCCAUGUGUACAAUUGUAGAAAAAUACACCAGCAUAUGAACUUCUGCAUAGAAUACAUGCAUAUAAAUAUAUUUAUGUUUAUAAAAACAUUAUGCUAAAAUGUGCAAUAUAAUUUACCAGGAGAUUUUUAUUUUUGCAAACAGCAUCGAUGCAAUGUUAUACCACUUAGACAGAAUGUAUUAAACAUUGCUGCUGGUUAA